AGUGAACGCUGGCGGUAGGCCUAACACAUGCAAGUCGAACGGCAGCACAGUAAGAGCUUGCUCUUACGGGUGGCGAGUGGCGGACGGGUGAGGAAUACAUCGGAAUCUACUUUUUCGUGGGGGCUAACGUAGGGAAACUUACGCUAAUACCGCAUACGACCUACGGGUGAAAGCAGGGGAUCUUCGGACCUUGCGCGAUUGAAUGAGCCGAUGUCGGAUUAGCUAGUUGGCGGGGUAAAGGCCCACCAAGGCGACGAUCCGUAGCUGGUCUGAGAGGAUGAUCGGCCACACUGGAACUGAGACACGGUCCAGACUCCUACGGGAGGCAGCAGUGGGGAAUAUUGGACAAUGGGCGCAAGCCUGAUCCAGCCAUACCGCGUGUGUGAAGAAGGCCUUCGGGUUGUAAAGCCCUUUUGUUGGGAAAGAAAAGCAGCAGGUUAAUACCACGCUGUUCUGACGGUACCCAAAGAAUAAGCACCGGCUAACUUCGUG
rnacentral:rRNA from 1 species